rnacentral:rRNA from 1 species
UACGAAGGGUGCAAGCGUUACUCGGAAUUACUGGGCGUAAAGCGUGCGUAGGUGGUGAGUUAAGUCUGUCGUGAAAGCCCCGGGCUCAACCUGGGAAUGGCGAUGGAUACUGGCUCGCUAGAGUGCGGUAGAGGAGAGUGGAAUUCCCGGUGUAGCAGUGAAAUGCGUAGAUAUCAGGAGGAACACCGAUGGCGAAGGCAGGUCUCUGGGCUGACACUGACGAUCAUGCACGAAAGCGUGGGGAGCAAACAGG